UGUUUUACUAGCUAGAAUAAAUGGCUCGUAAAAUUUUGUAUUAUAUAAGCAAACUUCUCUACAAAAUUUUAUGGGAUUGGUGGUCUUCAACCCCAAUUGCUGGCUUACAAAUACGAGUUUCGAGCUGAAAUUCGAAAGCAAAGAUCUAUCUACAGAAUUUUAUCACGACCGUUCCAUACUUAACCCUGAGGUCUCCCUCAGCUCACUACUGAAUUUAAAAUAAAAGAAUAGCGCUGAAAUUCGACACUAGUAAGUUUCUUAUUAGCACUAAUCAGUCUACCGAAUUUUAUGAGGAUGGAUUUUAUGAUGAAGUCCAUUAUUUACCCUACCCCCACAUAAAUCCCCCUUCAGAAAUUGACUUAAACGCACAUUAAAAAUGCGAGUAUAAAAAAGCUAUGAAAUUCGAUACACAGAAAGUGAAACUGCUUGAGUCCUCAAAUUUUUAAUGGAAAAAGUGAGCGGCCUAUGAGAGAGUUAUAACCCUUAAAUCUUGGACGAACAACUUUCGCAUCCAUAUCAACAUUUGGAUAAUAAAUUGGCGGACCAGCGAUAGUGGUCAUAAGACCUCCCUUGUACAUAAAUUAUGCACAGCAAUUUGUCUGGGAAUCUUUUACAGCUACAAUCUUACAUUUUUAAAAUCACACAUGGAACAUGACAAUUCAUUUAUCUGGAAAGAUAUUUGAGCAAAAUCUCUAAAGGUAUACAGGAACAAUUCCUGGGUAAUAAAUUGUCGAUUUGAAAAAAAUGGCGAGUUUGCAAUAGUUGGUCUCCUUCGAUAUGAAGUAAAUAAUAAAAUAUAAAGGAAACAUUUUUGCUAUUUCCACGGGGGGAAGGGGUAUACCAUUCACGUGUGAGGUCCCACUUUUAAAAAAUUGAACUUCAUCACUAUUUUAGUUACUGAAAAGAUUUAUAUGUUUAUGACAAUUAUAAAUUUGAGAAUGAUUCUAUGAAAAAUAAUUAUUUUACAACAAAUAAAUAAUGAUA
rnacentral:lncRNA from 1 species